rnacentral:rRNA from 1 species
GACGAACGCUGGCGGCGUGCUUAACACAUGCAAGUCGAACGGAAAGGCCCUGCUUUUGUGGGGUGCUCGAGUGGCGAACGGGUGAGUAACACGUGAGUAACCUGCCCUUGACUUUGGGAUAACUUCAGGAAACUGGGGCUAAUACCGGAUAGGAGCUCCUGCUGCAUGGUGGGGGUUGGAAAGUUUCGGCGGUUGGGGAUGGACUCGCGGCUUAUCAGCUUGUUGGUGGGGUAGUGGCUUACCAAGGCUUUGACGGGUAGCCGGCCUGAGAGGGUGACCGGCCACAUUGGGACUGAGAUACGGCCCAGACUCCUACGGGCGGCAGCAGUGGGGAAUAUUGCACAAUGGGCGGAAGCCUGAUGCAGCAACGCCGCGUGCGGGAUGACGGCCUUCGGGUUGUAAACCGCUUUCGCCUGUGACGAAGCGUGAGUGACGGUAAUGGGUAAAGAAGCACCGGCUAACUCCGUG